rnacentral:rRNA from 1 species
GUGGGGAGCAAACAGGAUUAGAUACCCUGGUAGUCCACGCCCUAAACGAUGUCAACUAGUUGUUGGGGAUUCAUUUCCUUAGUAACGUAGCUAACGCGUGAAGUUGACCGCCUGGGGAGUACGGUCGCAAGAUUAAAACUCAAAGGAAUUGACGGGGACCUGCACAAGCGGUGGAUGAUGUGGAUUAAUUCGAUGCAACGCGAAAAACCUUACCUACCCUUGACAUGGACGGAACCCUGCUGAGAGGUGGGGGUGCUCGAAAGAGAACCGUCGCACAGGUGCUGCAUGGCUGUCGUCAGCUCGUGUCGUGAGAUGUUGGGUUAAGUCCCGCAACGAGCGCAACCCUUGUCCUUAGUUGCUACGCAAGAGCACUCUAAGGAGACUGCCGGUGACAAACCGGAGGAAGGUGGGGAUGACGUCAAGUCCUCAUGGCCCUUAUGGGUAGGGCUUCACACGUCAUACAAUGGUCGGAACAGAGGGUUGCCAAGCCGCGAGGUGGAGCCAAUCCCAGAAAACCGAUCGUAGUCCGGAUUGCACUCUGCAACUCGAGUGCAUGAAGCUGGAAUCGCUAGUAAUCGCGGAUCAGCAUGCCGCGNNNNNNNNNNNCCCGGGUCUUGUACACACCGCCCGUCACACCAUGGGAGUGGGUUUUACCAGAAGUGGCUAGUCUAACCGCAAGGAGGACGGUCACCACGGUAGGAUUCAUGACUGGAGGGAAGUCGUAACAAGGUAACCA